rnacentral:rRNA from 1 species
GAUGAACGCUGGCGGCGUGCCUAAUACAUGCAAGUCGAGCGAACAGACGAGGAGCUUGCUUCUCUGACGUUAGCGGCGGACGGGUGAGUAACACGUGGAUAACCUACCUAUAGGACUGGGAUAACUUCGGGAAACCGGAGCUAAUACCGGAUAAUAUAUUGAACCGCAUGGUUCAAUAGUGAAAGACGGUUUUGCUGUCACUUAUAGAUGGAUCCGCGCCGCAUUAGCUAGUUGGUAAGGUAACGGCUUACCAAGGCAACGAUGCGUAGCCGACCUGAGAGGGUGAUCGGCCACACUGGAACUGAGACACGGUCCAGACUCCUACGGGAGGCAGCAGUAGGGAAUCUUCCGCAAUGGGCGAAAGCCUGACGGAGCAACGCCGCGUGAGUGAUGAAGGUCUUCGGAUCGUAAAACUCUGUUAUUAGGGAAGAACAAAUGUGUAAGUAACUAUGCACGUCUUGACGGUACCUAAUCAGAAAGCCACGGCUAACUACGUG